rnacentral:rRNA from 1 species
UACGGAGGGUGCAAGCGUUGUCCGGAAUCACUGGGCAUAAAGAGCGUGUAGGCGGCCUGAAAGGUCAGCUGUGAAAACUCGAGGCUCAACCUCGAGACGUCGGUUGAAACCAUCUGGCUAGAGUCCGGAAGAGGAGUGUGGAAUUCCCGGUGUAGCGGUGAAAUGCGCAGAUAUCGGGAAGAACACCCGUGGCGAAGGCGGCACUCUGGGACGGUACUGACGCUGAGACGCGAAAGCGUGGGGAGCGAACAGG